UACGUAGGGGGCAAGCGUUGUCCGGAUUUAUUGGGCGUAAAGAGCGUGUAGGCGGCUUGGUAGGUCUCGCGUCAAAACCUGAGGCUCAACCUCAGUUCGCGUGGGAAACCACCUAGCUAGAGUCCGGAAGAGGAGAACGGAAUUCCCAGUGUAGCGGUGAAAUGCGCAGAUAUUGGGAAGAACACCGGUGGCGAAGGCGCUGCUCUGGGCCGGUACUGACGCUGAGGAGCGAAAGCGUGGGUAGCAAACAGG
rnacentral:rRNA from 1 species